rnacentral:lncRNA from 1 species
GGAGGUUUCCGGCCCGGGGCCCGACUGCGGGUGGCAUUUCUGGCUAAGCCGUUAGGCGCGAAUUUUGUGUGGCCAGAAAACACAGGGCACGUUACCCGGUAUCGUGGUCUACACCUCGCUCACAAAUCCAUCCCAGGCUGUAUCCUCAUGAAAGCUUUUUCCAGAUGUGCUUGAGGGUUAAGAUCCCAAUGUGCAAGAAGAAAAACUGCACAUUGGAAAACCUUCUCUUCGGAGAUAUCUAUAUCUAUAUUUAUAUAUAUUUACAGAUAUGGGGAUAUAUACACACACGUAUCUGAAAACAUUCUGACGUUUUCAAAACGGAGCACCGGAGGAGGGGGACUUCAUCUGACUUGUUCACCACUGUCUCCCAGGCCCUGGCACAGAGGGAGCACUCAAUACACACCGAUGGGCUGAAGGCGUGAAUGGAGCUGGGGACUAGAGUGAUGAUUAUUUGGCAGACAGCAUGCCCUGCCCGGGCAGUAGCCGUGAAGACUCUUCUUUUCCUCUCCUCGCCUGCACUCUUUAGGAUUGAACAGCAUUGGUUCAAUGCAUAUUCUGGGAGCACAGAGAAAAAAGGAAUGGAGUUCCACCAUUAUGCAAAAGGGACUCCAGUAAGCCAGGUGAAGAAGGGGCAAGGCCCUUCCUGGUCAGCAGGGAUAAGGCAGUUGUGUGUGGCAGAGCAUGCGAGGAGGCGAGGGCUGCGGGAGAUGGAGCAGGAACAUUUGGUUGGGGCUCUGAGGCACUCUUCUGCUUGGGGAGUGUGUGGGCGAAGGCCGGGGCUGUGCAGGAAGGAUUUAGCUAAAGCCACAAAGCUGGAAGAGGGUUUGGGGAACGGCUUUGAAGUUACAUUUGUUUUGCAAGUUCUUUGUUUUUAUUAAUAUUUGCAUGCUAUUUGGGUAGCUGUAGGGAGUAGGUUUUCGGGGAGUUAAAGUGCACUCUCUCACCCCUCCUUCAGUCCUACUACUGCCCCUAGAUACACAAUCACCUCAAGUGACUUUCACGUCACCAGGAAUGGGCAAAGUCUAGAUUUUGGAACAGAAAAUAUUUUAGGUCCCCGUCCCUCUCUGUAACCAAUAACCAAUGCCAUAUAAAUGGAAAAGUAUAAAGAA